rnacentral:misc_RNA from 1 species
UUCAGAAGAAAAGUACAGAUCGAUUUCAGUAAUUUCCAACACCAGUACAAUCUAUCAAUCUAGACCAUGGGAAAUUUCGGAUACCAGAUUCAAUGGGGCGAGGGGGAGGGACUUGCAGAUGGUGUGUAUAUAUUACAGAUGCUUACCAUUACAUCAACCGCUAUCCGACCGAAGUAGCAAGACCAAUAUCAAAUAUGCAUCUUCAAUGAAGGAACAAGUUCAACACACGCUUUUGCAGCAACCAGUUCACCACAUUAUAGAAGUGUGCUGCAGGUGGAAAGCUGACGAG